UUCCCUCCUCUUUCUCUCCCUGGAGCCAAGAGAAUGUCACACACCAGGCAAGGGAUGCUCAGAAUUUGCUGGCCUGAUGCUCUUGUCAUUCUGCACGUGGCCUGCUCUAGCUUUGGGGAGUAGGAAAGAGAACUCACACUUGGGGCUUCCUGAAGCCUCGUUGAUCUUGGGAAGCUGAUGGGCUUGGUGAGGCAGUCCAGUGUGUCAGGAUUUCUGGGAAGCAAGAAAGAGGAAGCAUGGGCGGAUGCACGGAAAGGGUGUGAACGUUCAGGAUCAAGAUUUUCCUCGACGUUGGGAAGAAGUGAUGGGCCGAGGCCACUGGAAGCCUGGACACAGGCCAGCAUCAGGCCCUUCCGUGAGAGCCCAGGGCCGGCAGUCCUGCCCAGACACGGAGCCCCCAGGCCAGGUGGCUGCUCCCCGGGGCCAUGCCCAGGGAUGGCUGCACCUGGGCCUUCACCUAGGGCUGCUCCUGUCUGUGUACACUUGGGGUCUCUUCCGGGGGGUGGGUGACCUGUCUUCAAGCAGCCUGUGAUGGAUGAAGGGCAGGAGUCAGGGAGUCCUCUUAUGGGGCCCUCAGGGUCAGGGCACACGUCUGACAGUCCUAAUUCUCCAGCCCCGCUUUCUGCAAAUGGAUGGUCAUUUUGGACUUUCUGAUCUCUCAUUCCUCAUUCAGCAGAGCAAGCACCGUAAAUCCCCAGCAAUGUAGGUUUUACAGCCUCCCAUGUACACAUGUGCGCUUCAGCACCAAGGCCAGCGCCACUCACAUCACGUGUGUUCUCGCAUCUGGACACCAGCAGUAUCGAGACUCGGGACGCCCCUUGGGCUUGGCAGGAGGGCCACAUGUCGUGGGGGCCAGGCUCACAGACGGCCCGUUUCCAGGCCCCGUAUCUGUGUUUCUUUGAAAAGGACAGGACCUUCCUUAAAGUGACAGCCAGACGAGGCAUUGAGUAGGACAAAGUAUUUGGGGGAGGACCAGAGACGGUUGGGAGGCCCAUAUUCCAGGCGAGGGGACGAGGGGAGCUCAAGGAGGCCCACCAGCCGGUUCAGCAGUUGGUUGUGGUGUGAGGGUGCGGUGUGAAAAGUCUGAGCCGCCUGGGGUGAGCAGGGCGCGUGUCACGGGCCACGGUGGGGUUUGCCGUGAGUGGGUGGGAGGAUGGUAGUGGCUGUUUCUGCCGACUGGGUAACAUCUCAGAUCCCUGAACUCCCAGGAUUAUUUUAGCCACUCAAAGAUCAGUGGCUCUAUGUGUUCUCUUCUUUCCGUUCUUUUAAAAAAAUCACCCUCAUUUGUGCACUCGUUCAGCUGCCGUUUAUGGAGCACCUGCUGGUCUCUGGGCAGCUUGGUGACUUACCCUCCAUGAGCUUCCGGUCCAACAUGGAAGGGGGCAACUAAAGACACAUGACAUGUGGGACAAAGACGCUGCUGUGAAACUGGUGAUGUGUUCUUGGUGCAGUGGAGAUGGGAUGUGGUCCUGGCUCAGGGCUCUCCACAUCAGGUUCCAGCAUUGUCUGCACGCUGGUGCCCACCUGGCGGAACCUGGAGGGGGCUUUCCAUGGCCCAGCUGCAAGGGCCAGAAAAGAGGUCCCCAGUGGGCCAUCAGGUUGCUGGAAACCCACCUUGAGAAGUGGCUUUUGCCUAUCGAUGCGACAGUCCGCCUGGACGCCUGUGGUCACCCGCACACCACCUGGCAGAACUCCAUGUUUGCUACACGGGAAGGCCUAGCAGAUCCCCAAUUUGAAACCACCUUAAAGCUCCUAGCAUUUUUUGAGGGGUACUGGGAUGCCCACAUUCCAGAUUAAGGGCUCAGGGGAAGGAUGGGAGUGUGUUGGCAAUGAGUGGACUUGGGAACACCACCAGAGAUGCUGGGACGACCUGUCCUAAUGACCUUUCUCCUUGUUCCCUGGUGAACCGCUAUCAUCUUGUGAAUUUCAGCAGACUCGCUUGUGGUAGACCGGGCUUAAGAAGCCUUCAGCGACGGAAAGUGGACAUGUUAACUUCACACCUGGGCCCACAGAGGUGCACGGAGGAGAGGAAGCUGCCCAGGCCGCAUUGCAUGACACUGGUCCUCCUGCAGCAGGCCCAGGGAGCCAGGACACGACAGCGGUCGGGGCCUCCUGAGGCUGAAGGCUGCAACCCUAUUCAUUCAUCACAGUGCUCAUAGCCAAGAUGAGCAAUGCGGGGAUCAGUCUUUCACUGCACAUUGGAAAGGCUCUGGGCAGCAGCAUCUUCCGGGGUGACUGCUUGUCCCGUGGUCUGCAUCAGCCAUCAUCACUAUUAGCGCCGUCACCACCAUCAGCACCACCAGUAGCAUCACCACCGUCUCCACUGUCCAUUUGGUCAGUGCUGUAUAAUUUCACAUCCUGCAGGAGAACAGACUGUGUCUUGCUCGUUAAAUCAGCCCUUUCACCUGGUACAGUGUUCAGUACCUGCUAGACGCCAAAGGAAUAUCAGAUGCUGUGAAUGUUUAUUAAAAAUGAAUGAAUGAAUAAAUGAGGUUUCACCUA